rnacentral:tRNA from 1 species
AAGGUCUUAGCUUAAUUAAAGUGUCUGAUUUGCAUUCAGGAGAUGUGAAUUAAUAUUUCGCAGAUCUUA